GAAUAGCUCAGUCAGUAGAGCAUGAGACUCUUAACCUCAGGUUCAUGGGUUCGAAUCCCACGUUGGACA
rnacentral:tRNA from 1 species